GCAGUCGUGGCGUAGUGGUUGAAGCGAUGGACUAGAAAUCCAUUGGGGUCUCCCCGCACAGGUUCGAAUCCUGUGAAUUGCG
rnacentral:tRNA from 1 species